rnacentral:rRNA from 1 species
CUUUACUGUAGCCUGGUAUUGGGUUCGGGCUUUGCUUGCGCAGGAUAGGUGGGAGACGUUGAAGCAUCUCUUGUGGGAGGUGUGGAGUCAACGGUGAGAUACCACUCUGGCAGAGCUAGAAUUCUAACCCUUACCCAUUAUCUGGGAAGGGGACCGUAUCAGGUGGGCAGUUUGACUGGGGCGGUCGCCUCCUAAAAGGUAACGGAGGCGCGCAAAGGUUCCCUCCGGCUGGUUGGAAAUCAGCCUGAGAGUGCAAAGGCAUAAGGGAGCUUGACUGUGAGACUGACAGGUCAAGCAGGGACGAAAGUCGGCCUUAGUGAUCCGACGGCGCUGAGUGGAAGGGCCGUCGCUCAACGGAUAAAAGUUA